rnacentral:rRNA from 1 species
GCUUGCGCCAUAUUAUUUAGUUGGUAGGGUAAUGGCCUACCAAGACGAUGAUGUGUAGCUGGACUGAGAGGUUGAACAGCCCCAUUGGGACUGAGACACGGCCCAAAUUCCUACGGGAGGCAGCAGUAGGGAAUUUUCGGCAAUGGAGGAAACUCUGACCGAGCAACGCCGCGUGAAUGACGAAGUACUUCGGUAUGUAAAGUUCUUUUAUCAAGGAAGAAAAGCAAAUGGCGAACCAUUUGUUUGCCGGUACUUGAUGAAUAAGCCCCGGCUAAUUAUGUGCCAGCAGCCGCGGUAAGACAUAAGGGGCAAGUGUUAUCCGGAAUUAUUGGGCGUAAAGGGUGCGUAGGCGGUCUAGUAAGUCAGUGGUGUAAUGGCAACGCUUAACGUUGUCCGGCUAUUGAAACUGCUAAACUUGAGUUAGAUAGAGGCGAGUGGAAUUCCAUGUGUAGCGGUAAAAUGCGUAAAUAUAUGGAGGAACACCAGAGGCGUAGGCGGCUCGCUGGGUCUUAACUGACGCUGAGGCACGAAAGCGUGGGGAGCAAACAGGAUUAGAUACCCUGGUAGUCCACGCCGUAAACGAUGAGUACUAAGUGUCGGGUUAAACCGGUACUGAAGUUAACACAUUAAGUACUCCGCCUGAGUAGUACGUACGCAAGUAUGAAACUUAAAGGAAUUGACGGGACUCCGCACAAGCGGUGGAUCAUGUUGUUUAAUUCGAAGAUACCCGAAAAACCUUACCAGGUCUUGACAUGUUUUUGCAAAAUGAUAGUAAUAUCGUGGAGGUUACCAGAAACACAGGUGGUGCAUGGUUGUCGUCAGCUCGUGUCGUGAGAUGUUAGGUUAAGUCCUAAAACGAGCGAAACCCUUAUCGUUAGUUGCCAGCACGUUAUGGUGGGGACUUUAACGAGACUGCCAAUGAUAAAUUGGAGGAAGGUGAGGAUCACGUCAAAUCAGCAUGCCCCUUAUGACCUGGGCUACAAACGUGAUACAAUGGCUGUUACAAAGGGUAGCUGAAACGCAAGUUCUUGGCCAAUCCCCAAAAACAGUCCCAGUCCGGAUCUGAAGUCUGCAACUCGACUUCAUGAAGUUGGAAUCGCUAGUAAUCGCGAAUCAGCAUGUCGCGGUGAAUACGUUCUCGGGGUUUGUACACACCGCCCGUCAAACCACGAAAGUUGGCAA